rnacentral:rRNA from 1 species
UACGUAGGGGGCGAGCGUUGUCCGGAUUUAUUGGGCGUAAAGAGCUCGUAGGCGGUUCGAUAAGUCGGACGUGAAAUCUCCACGCUCAACGUGGAGGGGCCGUUCGAUACUGUCGUGACUCGAGUCCGGUAGGGGAGUGUGGAAUUCCCGGUGUAGCGGUGAAAUGCGCAGAGAUCGGGAGGAACACCCGUAGCGAAGGCGGCACUCUGGGCCGGUACUGACGCUGAGGCGCGAAAGCGUGGGGAGCAAACAGGG